GCGCGAUGAUUUUCGGUGAUUAUCCGGCGGAGUACAACCCGAAGAUCCACGGACCUUACGAUCCUGUCUGUUACUACGGCAAG
rnacentral:lncRNA from 1 species